AUUGAACGCUGGCGGCAGGCCUAACACAUUCAAGUCGAACGAGUGGCGGACGGGUGAGUAAUGUCUGGGAAACUGCCUGAUGGAGGGGGAUAACUACUGGAAACGGUAGCUAAUACCGCAUACCAUCAGAUGUUCCCAGAUGGGAUUAUCUUGUUGGUGGGGUACCGGAUCACCAAGGCGACGAUCCCUAGCUGGUCUGAUAGGAUGACCAGCCACACUGGAGCGGAGACACGGUGCAAAAGCCUACGGGGGGCAGCAGUGGGGAAUAAUGCACAAUGAGCGAAAGCCUGAUGAAGCAAUGACGCGGGGAUGAAGAAGACGUGCGGGGUGUAAAGUACUGUUAGCGGCGAGGCGGUAACCGCAGAAGAAGCACCAGCUAACUACGUGCCAGCCGCCGCGGUAAUAC
rnacentral:rRNA from 1 species